rnacentral:lncRNA from 1 species
AAGGCCCUGUCUUGGUUAAACAUUAAUGAAGGCGGUCGUCUUAAUAGGACUAGCUCUGUUAAUGCAUAUUAACAGCGACGGUUGUCUUAGGCUAACCGCCUCCAUUAGUACAUUAACUAAGACAGUCUUAGGUUGACCAAGAUUUUAGACAAACAAUGUUGACAUAUGUAAGUUUGUUACAGAGUGUGCGCACGAAGGGCGACCGUUCUCAAUCCAGAAAAUGAGCUAGCUAAGAAUUCGAAGUUCGCGAAAAUAGAGCGACCAUGAGGGGGGGUGGGAUAAAACUCACUUAUUACAUGUUGCCGGACCUUUUUUCCUUGAAGAAAUGAUAGCAUGAUAUUAGCGUCGUAGAUCUUAGUUUUUCAAGUGUAAACAUUUGACAUAUGCUUGUGUAAUCUAACUUCGAAUAAUGUUGCAUGGUUGACGUACAAUGGACGAUAUCAAUGAAUGUAUUAUAUGCUUGUGUUGAGUAAUAUGUGUUUAUAUAUGUCUUUCUGCUUUUAUAUAUGUGUUUGAUUUGCGAAAAUAUAAUUCAAAUAAAACUACAGAAGCUUUUUUAAAAAUGCUAAAAUUUCAAUGGAGGUAGGCAAAUAACAACAGUCUGCCUCUGUUAAAAUCUUAGUGAAGGCGAACGUUAUAUCCUUGGACGCCUCGGUUAAAGUCUUAGUGGAGGUGGACAGCUAAUGGUGCCUUCCUCAGUCAUGACGAUUAAUGGAGACGGUUGUCUUAUGACGUCUAUCUUCAUUAAAGUCUUAAUGGAGAUAGGCAGAGCAACCGUCUCUAUUAAGUUAUGAUUAAUCGUGACCUAUGGUUUGAGGUGGUUGCAAUGCCUGCUUUCAUUAAACCAAAACGCCUGUUUCUAUUAAAAUUUGUGUAAUAGUGAAGACAAGUGCUAGUACCGUUCAUGUAUGCUUCUCUCUUCCAAACUAGAAGCCGGUGAAGUCUUUUCUUUUGGUUUUGGCUUACCGUGGACCGUGACACUGUAGCAAUAAACUUAAACUAUUUAAAGUCCUGCAAAGAGAGUCUAAAAUUUCUCACGUACUUCUCUAAAGACAUUGUCAUGUAUUAUUGGUUGCCUCAAAAAGUUGCUACACUUUGAUGAAAUCUUUAACCUUCAUGAGCUAUCUUCCUCUUUUGGCAGACUCCUUUGGCAAUAUGCAUAGCAUAGAUAGGCUUCAGUUUUGAACUUAUCCGAUCGCUAUGGACUCCACGCACUACCAAAAUGUUAGAUGUGAACUUCAUGAUCGUACACAUAUCUAUUGGAUUGCCACCACCUUGAAAAGCUCCCAAGAUUGCAUUGAUGAACUUUCCGAACCUGU